CUACAUCUUGUCAUCUUGUCUACAUCUUGUCUACAUCUUGUCUACACAAGAUGUAGACAAGAUGUAGACAAGAUGUGGACAAGAUGUAGA
rnacentral:pre_miRNA from 1 species